CCUACGGGUGGCUACAGUGGGGAAUAUUGGACAAUGGGCGAAAGCCUGAUCCAGCCAUGCCGCGUGUGUGAAGAAGGCCUUCGGGUUGUAAAGCACUUUCAGUGGGGAAGAAAGCCUUGGGGCUAAUACCCUCGAGGAAGGACAUCACCCACAGAAGAAGCACCGGCUAACUCCGUGCCAGCAGCCGCGGUAAUACGGAGGGUGCGAGCGUUAAUCGGAAUUACUGGGCGUAAAGCGCGCGUAGGCGGUCUGAUAAGCCGGUUGUGAAAGCCCCGGGCUCAACCUGGGAACGGCAUCCGGAACUGUCAGGCUAGAGUGCAGGAGAGGAAGGUAGAAUUCCCGGUGUAGCGGUGAAAUGCGUAGAGAUCGGGAGGAAUACCAGUGGCGAAGGCGGCCUUCUGGACUGACACUGACGCUGAGGUGCGAAAGCGUGGGUAGCAAACAGGAUUAGAUACCCGGGUAGUC
rnacentral:rRNA from 1 species